rnacentral:lncRNA from 1 species
GAUUUGAACUCAGGACCUCUGGAAGAGAAGUUGGUGCUCUUAACCUCUGAGCCAUCUCUCCAGCAUAAAGUCCUAGGUUAGGUGCCCAGCACAACAGGAAAAUAUUAAUUCUGAAGCCAACAAGUAUUACCUUGGACCAUGUUGCAAGACCCAGGCAUCACUUGCAGACAUUGUCUCCCAGGGUUAUGUGGUAUUUAUAUCUUGAGAUGAUUUAGCCUCAACAGAUAUUUUUUAUUGUUAGCUUUCUGGGAAGCAAGACAGAUGGGGUUCCAUAGUUUCAAUCGGCAAAGUUGGUGGGUGCUUAGGAAGCCAGGAGCAGUGACACCAUCUGAAUUUCCAGGACAGUGACUUAAAAAGACAAGUGGGCAAAUGGCCAAUAUUCUCUCCGACCUAAUAGCAGGAAAAGGUGUGGCCUUCACCCAGGAAACACUACAAAGCACCUUCCCAGCAGAAGUAUUUUGAAACUGAAGAGAAACAGGAAAAUUUCAACCAAUCCCGGGAGGAUUUUCAAGGUUUAUUCAGAAAGCAAGAAGUGUUGGCAAGUCCACCGGUCAUUGUUGGCAAGUCCACCCGUCAUUCUGAAGCAGUUAGGCUGCCAAGU